rnacentral:rRNA from 1 species
CCUACGGGAGGCAGCAGUGAGGAAUAUUGGUCAAUGGACGGAAGUCUGAACCAGCCAUGCCGCGUGCAGGAAGACGGCUCUAUGAGUUGUAAACUGCUUUUGUACAAGGGUAAACCUGAAUAUGUGUAUUCAGCUGAAAGUACUGUACGAAUAAGGAUCGGCCAACUCCGUGCCAGCAGCCCCGGUAAUACGGAGGAUCCAAGCGUGACCCGGAUUUAUUGGGUUUAACGGGUGCGUAGGCGGAUUGAUAAGUUAGAGGUGAAAUGUCCGGGCUUAACUCGGGAACUGCCUCUAAUACUGUUGAUCUAGAGUGUAGAUGCGGUAGGCGGAAUGUAUGGUGUAGCGGUGAAAUGCUUAGAGA